rnacentral:rRNA from 1 species
CGGACGGGUGAGUAAUGUCUGGGAAACUGCCUGAUGGAGGGGGAUAACUACUGGAAACGGUAGCUAAUACCGCAUAAUGUCGCAAGACCAAAGUGGGGGACCUUCGGGCCUCAUGCCAUCAGAUGUGCCCAGAUGGGAUUAGCUAGUAGGUGGGGUAACGGCUCACCUAGGCGACGAUCCCUAGCUGGUCUGAGAGGAUGACCAGCCACACUGGAACUGAGACACGGUCCAGACUCCUACGGGAGGCAGCAGUGGGGAAUAUUGCACAAUGGGCGCAAGCCUGAUGCAGCCAUGCCGCGUGUGUGAAGAAGGCCUUCGGGUUGUAAAGCACUUUCAGCGGGGAGGAAGGCG